CAGCCGCCACGGUAAUACGUAGGUCCCGAGCGUUGUCCGGAUUUAUUGGGCGGAAAGCGAGUGCAGGCGGUUAGAUAAGUCUGAAGUUAAAGGCUGUGGCUUAACCAUAGUACGCUUUGGAAACUGCUUAACUUGAGUGCAAGAGGGGAGAGUGGAAUUCCAUGUGUAGCGGUGAGAUGCGUAGAUAUAUGGAGGAACACCGGUGGCGAAAGCGGCUCUCUGGCUUGUAACCGACGCUGAGGCUCGAAAGCGUGGGGAGCAAACAGGAUUAGAUACCCCUGUAGUCCCUGUCUCUUAUACA
rnacentral:rRNA from 1 species